rnacentral:rRNA from 1 species
AUUGAACGCUGGCGGCAGGCCUAACACAUGCAAGUCGAGCGGAUGAAGGGAGCUUGCUCCUGGAUUCAGCGGCGGACGGGUGAGUAAUGCCUAGGAAUCUGCCUGGUAGUGGGGGAUAACGUCCGGAAACGGGCGCUAAUACCGCAUACGUCCUGAGGGAGAAAGUGGGGGAUCGUCGGACCUCACGCUAUCAGAUGAGCCUAGGUCGGAUUAGCUAGUUGGUGGGGUAAAGGCCUACCAAGGCGACGAUCCGUAACUGGUCUGAGAGGAUGAUCAGUCACACUGGAACUGAGACACGGUCCAGACUCCUACGGGAGGCCGCAGUGGGGAAUAUUGGACAAUGGGCGAAAGCCUGAUCCAGCCAUGCCGCGUGUGUGAAGAAGGUCUUCGGAUUGUAAAGCACUUUAAGUUGGGAGGAAGGGCAGUAAGUUAAUACCUUGCUGUUUUGACGUUACCAACAGAAUAAGCACCGGCUAACUUCGUG